rnacentral:rRNA from 1 species
CCUGAGAAACCCAAAAGAUCGAAUGGGGAGAUUCAUCGUCAGCUCAUUUUGUAUAUAUGCAAAUUGUGAUAUGGGUUACUACUUGUAGUAUUGCCUGUACAUACUUGUAUAUUUAUUUGCAAAAUGUUGUCGGCGUGCACUUCUCCUNUAGUAGAACGUCGCGACCCGUUGAGUUUAUUAUAUAUAUGUUAAUCUACGGCCCAAGUGAUAGCUUUUAAUAAAUGAUUUCAUAUUAUUUAUUGAAAAUCCUUGGUGUUUACCUGAUUAACACUUGGCGGUAAUCGUACGGUAUUAAGCCGCAUAUUUAAUAUGCGUCCUGUUCAUCACAAGCGAGAUUAGUUUUUUUUACUGAUAGUACGGACUUAGUGCCGUCGUUGGUACUAAUCAGCUGUUAGUUGUAUGAAAUUCUAGGACUGGCUUGCGUUUUAAUUACCGGUCAGCCAUGCUACUGCUUUGGG